rnacentral:lncRNA from 1 species
UUCAAUAUCCCCAUACAUUACAAGAAAGAAAGUAACAUACAUGCCACUCACUGAUUUAAGCAAACAUCAAAAGACCACAUCUUACAAGUCGAUUUGGGCGAUCUUCGGAACAUGUACCGGGAACUCAUGGAUCUCACUUGUCCAUGGGUUUUUCUCUUUUGUCGGGUCGAUAGUCCGUAGAGCUCUCCAAACCGCACUGUUACACUUGAAACCUGACCCGAAAGCAAUUUGCCACGAUCGGUCUCCCUUCUUUAUUCUACCUUUAGCUUCACAGUAUGCUAGUUCAUACCACAAAGAGCUACUUGAAGUGUUACCAAAUCUAUAGAGCGUCAUUCGGGAUGGUUCCAUGUGCCACUCCGAUAACUCGAGAUUCUUUUCUAACUCGUCUAGGACCGCCCUUCCUCCCGCGUGAAUGCAAAAAUGCUCAAAUGCAAGCUUGAAAUCCGGGAUAUACGGUUUAAUUUUCAUUUUGAAUACUUUCCUCGCGACUAGUGUCACGAAAAACAAGAGCUGUUCAGACAUGGGUAACACUAACGGGCCAAGAGUCGUGAUGUUGGUUUUCAAGGCCUCACCCGCAACAGCCAUAAGAUCUUUAGAAAGAGCGACUCCAAUCUUUUUCUCGUUGUCCUCUUCUUGGAAUACACAACUGUAGCAUUUGUCGUCCGCACCCUUAUGGGUGCGAACGGUAUGCACUAGUUGAUACUUUGAGCGUCGACGGUCACUCGACCUGUUAGACAAGAGAAUCGCAGCACCGCCCAUACGGAAAAGACAGUUUGACAAGAGCAUAGAUCGAUUGUUCCCAAAGUACCAGUUCAAUGUUAUGUUUUCCAUGCUAACCACCAAAGCAUAUGAAUUUGGAUACCUGUAAAAGUUGUUUGGCAAGAUCAAUAGAGAUCAAUCCAGCACUGCAACCCAUCCCUCCAAGAUUAUAGCUCAAAAUGUUACCUCUAAGCUUGUAAUGAUUCACAACCAUAGAACUCAAAGAAGGUGUAGGGCAAAACAAGCUACAAUUCACGAUCAAAACACCGAUAUCCUUGGCCUUCACUCCGGUUUUCCUCAACAAGUCAUCAAUCGCACCGAACAUCACCAUCUCCGCCUCCUUCCGAGCCUCGGCCAUACACGGAUUCGGUGGAACCUGCAACACCGCAUCAGGAAAAUACGUCUUCUGACCUAAUCCAGAUCGUUCCAGAAUCUUCUUCUGAAACGCCAAAUUCUCGUCGUUAAACGUACCUGCCAGACCCGAAUGCUGCAUGAAUGUUUCGCGACUGACGGUGUUGGAAUCGUUCGGUUUGUAACAGGCGAAAUCGACCAAAUAAACCUUGUUUGGGCGGCUCAUGAAGUAGAGUGUGGCGAGAAACACGAUGAGCGUUGAGCAUAUGAUGACGGUGAGUAAAUUGAAGCGGAGGUGGUGCCAUAGGUUGAUGAGAUCUUGUGAUGUGAGGGUUGAGAGAUGAACGGAGACGACUGCGAGGAGUGGGAUUAAGAGGAGGUACAUGAAAUGUGAGAUCAGGUAAUGGUAACCUAAUUUCACGUAUUUCAGUUUCACUGAUAACAGGAAGUUUGGGAGAUCCGCCAUUGUUAAUGUUCGAACUCAAAUCGGUUGGUUGAUGUGUGUGUGUGUGUUUGGGUGUGUGAGAGAGAGAAGGAAUUAAAAAAAAAAAAGUGGUUAUUUAAAGGAAGCAACUAACGACUUUC